ACACAACCUCCUCCAAUAUUUAUAACCAAGGCGAGAAUCUUGUUUCAACAUGUCAAAUCCGUGUAGAACAAGAUAAGCCUAAGACUAUACGGAUAAGCAUUAGGAUUAGUAUUAGGAUAAAAAUAAAAUCAAAAAAAUAAAAAUAAAAUAAAAUAAAAUAAACCGGGUAUAUGGACCGCGCGCGCUGCCACUCACGCACCCGGUCCGGCUCGGCUCGUGCUAUGCGUAUGUUUAAACAAGAGCUUAACUCUUAUUUUCUCCCAAAUAACUAACUUGAGAAUAAAGGAAUAUAUAUACACCAUCAACACCCUUUUAGUUUUCAAUGUGGGAUUAAACUUCACACAUAAAAAUUUUAAUUAGUCUUCCAAGUAAAGUCCAUUAAUAAUUAUCGAAUUUUCAAUAGACCUUAACAAAUUUUAAAUCACAAAAAUACAAUAAAU
rnacentral:lncRNA from 1 species